rnacentral:pre_miRNA from 1 species
ACAACAACAUUCGGACCGUCGGUUUACCGAGCAAUAUCACACGCUCGGUGGAAGAUCUUCCCUUUCGUCGUUAAAC